rnacentral:rRNA from 1 species
AGUGAACGCUGGCGGUAGGCCUAACACAUGCAAGUCGAACGGCAGCACAGUAAGAGCUUGCUCUUACGGGUGGCGAGUGGCGGACGGGUGAGGAAUACAUCGGAAUCUACUUUUUCGUGGGGGAUAACGUAGGGAAACUUACGCUAAUACCGCAUACGACCUACGGGUGAAAGCAGGGGAUCUUCGGACCUUGCGCGAUUGAAUGAGCCGAUGUCGGAUUAGCUAGUUGGCGGGGUAAAGGCCCACCAAGGCGACGAUCCGUAGCUGGUCUGAGAGGAUGAUCAGGCACACUGGAACUGAGACACGGUCCAGGCGCCUACGGGAGGCAGCAGUGGGGAAUAUUGGACAAUGGGCGCAAGCCUGAUCCAGCCAUACCGCGUGGGUGAAGAAGGCCUUCGGGUUGUAAAGCCCUUUUGUUGGGAAAGAAAAGCAGCAGGUUAAUACCCCGCUGUUCUGACGGUACCCAAAGAAUAAGCACCGGCUAACUUCGU